GGGGAUGUUCCUGGCUUCGACGCUGGUGAUGAAACUCAUAGAUGCAUGCCGAGAGCGCAUUUUCUCUCGUAAAUAAAAUUUGCAUUUUAAAUAGUCGCAAACGACGAAUCUUACGCUCUAGCUGCCUAAGGGCAGCUUGUCCGCAUCUCUGAAUACUUGUGGUUAGAGAUCCCGACUGAAGCGCACGCACACAAGUCCGUAUAACAUCAAGCCUUGGGGUGUUGUACUAAACUUAAAGGAUCGCUCUCUUAACCCUGUUCGUCGGGUCUUUGAGGGUUAAAACAAUAGACGAUAUCUAAGCAUGUAGUAAUCUCGAGUGUAGUGCUUGCGGACGCGGGUUCGACUCCCGCCAUCUCCACCA
rfam:Acinetobacter sp. Ver3 contig00015, whole genome shotgun sequence.